UUUUUUUUACAAACCUUAUAUAUAUACAUAUAUAUAUUUUUAUAUUAAAGCUCAUAUUUAUUUUAUGUUGCAUAAUUGUAUAUUUUGAUGUAUUUGGUGCAGUACAUUGAAAGAAUUGUUUGAAUAAUUGUGUUGUGCAUAUAUUGUGAUUUGUUUGUGUGGAAUUGGGAUGAAGUGGGUCACCAUGGGACUGUGAGACCGUACCGUUAUAUGGAUCCAAUAUGAUUACUGUUAGCCGGGUAAAUGGGAGAUCGGCGCCCCCGUGUGCACCUACUGCUAUGAUCUGUGUGAUAUGGAAAACCACAUUUGAUUAUUUGUGCUGUGUAUAUACUGUGCUCUGUUUGUGUGGAGUUGGGAUGAAGUGGGUCACCAUGGGUUUGUGAGGACGGUCGAUAAAUAAGGAUCCUGAUGAACUGAUGAAAGUGGACCGUCGGCCGGGUAAAUGGGAGAUCGGCGCCCCCGUGUGCACCUGAUGAACUGAUGAAAUGAUGUUGAUGAUAUGGAAAAGAAAAGAGAGAAUGUAAAAUAAAAUAUUGAGAGGACUGGUCAAGUGAGGAUUAGACCGGUCGGCCAGUAUGGGGGAUCGGCUCCCUGGUGCACAUGUGAGAGGAUGAGCCAUGUGGGAGGACGGCUCAUCGGGGGUUCGGUGACUCCACUGACUAAUUUCCACGUGAUGUGAUUAUUUGAAGGUGAUAUUGUUUGUGGGUGCUGAUGUAAUGUCAUAUGGUUGACUGUUGUGUGUUCAUUCAGUAUACUAGGGUGCAUUUUGCUUGCCUGUAUGUGGUGUGUAUUAUUUAUUAUUAUUCACUGAGUUGCAAAACUCACCCCCUUCUCUCCAAACCUCUCAGGUACUAGGAAGCAGCUGAUUCGAUUGAAGCUCUGCAAUCUUCUCCGCAGAGUUAUAAAUGUAAACUUUAUAUUUUUGUUAUUUAAUUUUGGUUGUAUAAGUUACUCUUUUAUCAGAUUAUUAUUGAACUCCGCAGUUAUAGGGUUGUGUAUUUAAAUUGGGCCUUAUUGUUAGCACUACGCUAUAAAUUAAUUAUUGUGUAAUUAACUGUAGGUAAACUAGUAAGCCCUUAUUGUGAUUAUGAGUUAUUGUGAAUAGGCCCUGGUUAAAUUUUAUGUAUUAUUUGAUAUUGGGCCAGAUGUUUGAAAAUUUUAUAAAACUUAUAUCUUAA
rnacentral:lncRNA from 1 species